GUAACGAGGUCUCCGUAGGUGAACCUGCGGAAGGAUCAUUA
rnacentral:rRNA from 1 species